GUGGCUAUAGCUCAGUUGGUUAGAGCACUGGUUUGUGGUUCCAGGGGUCGUCGGUUCAAAUCCGAUUAGCCACC
rnacentral:tRNA from 1 species